GCGCUUGUGGCGGAAUUGGCAGACGCGCUGGAUUUAGGUUCCAGUGUCUUCGGACGUGGGGGUUCAAGUCCCCCCAAGCGCA
rnacentral:tRNA from 1 species